AGAGUUUGAUUAUGGCUCAGGACGAACGCUGGCGGCGUGCCUAAUACAUGCAAGUCGAGCGAGCUUGCCUAGAUGAUUUUAGUGCUUGCACUAAAUGAAACUAGAUACAAGCGAGCGGCGGACGGGUGAGUAACACGUGGGUAACCUGCCCAAGAGACUGGGAUAACACCUGGAAACAGAUGCUAAUACCGGAUAACAACACUAGACGCAUGUCUAGAGUUUGAAAGAUGGUUCUGCUAUCACUCUUGGAUGGACCUGCGGUGCAUUAGCUAGUUGGUAAGGUAACGGCUUACCAAGGCAAUGAUGCAUAGCCGAGUUGAGAGACUGAUCGGCCACAUUGGGACUGAGACACGGCCCAAACUCCUACGGGAGGCAGCAGUAGGGAAUCUUCCACAAUGGACGAAAGUCUGAUGGAGCAACGCCGCGUGAGUGAAGAAGGGUUUCGGCUCGUAAAGCUCUGUUGGUAGUGAAGAAAGAUAGAGGUAGUAACUGGCCUUUAUUUGACGGUAAUUACUUAGAAAGUCACGGCUAACUACGUGCCAGCAGCCGCGGUAAUACGUAGGUGGCAAGCGUUGUCCGGAUUUAUUGGGCGUAAAGCGAGUGCAGGCGGUUCAAUAAGUCUGAUGUGAAAGCCUUCGGCUC
rnacentral:rRNA from 1 species